UACGUAGGGUGCAAUCGUUGUCCGGAAUUAUUGGGCGUAAAGAGCUCGUAGGCGGUCUGUCGCGUCUGCUGUGAAAACUCAGGGCUUAACCCUGAGCUUGCAGUGGGUACGGGCAGACUAGAGUGCGGUAGGGGAGACUGGAAUUCCUGGUGUAGCGGUGAAAUGCGCAGAUAUCAGGAGGAACACCGGUGGCGAAGGCGGGUCUCUGGGCCGUAACUGACGCUGAGGAGCGAAAGCAUGGGGAGCGAACAGG
rnacentral:rRNA from 1 species